CAUUUUAUAUUCAGGGAAAUCCACAUUGAAGGACUGAUGUUACUUUCUCCAAUACAGCAGGUGGCGGUGUGCAGUUUUACUCUGCACUCUGACUCUACGCACAGCCAGUAGAAGAAGUGGUGCGUAGCGUCUAAACUUUCUGCUCCACAUCCAGCGUUAAUACUGCUUUAGUUUCCUCUAGAGUUUCUGCUGGAGAUCAAACUUUUCAGAUCCAUCAUGGAGGACACGCACACUUCUGGAGAUCUGGAUUUGUUUGCCUCAUGGAGAAUGGAUUGUCUACGUGUUUGCAAAAUGGAAGUCGUGCGACAUCUUCCCUAUCCACCUUACUCUGAGGAAAUGAGUGAACUUGAAAUCUCUCAAUACUGUCAGUGUGGAUGGAGAUGAUCAGACUGGAGACCUGCAGCAGGAUUCACUCCAACCAGAACAUGA